GUGGAAUAAAAUGCUGCGGCUGCGUCUGCGCAGACGCUCGUCCAGGACUGACUGGAUGAAGAUCCUAAUGAAGUUUUUCUUUCAGACUUCGACGAGCAGUUCUCUGAGUUGUACUGAAAGUCGGAGCUGUGGAAUCUGAGCAGACAUGAUGAUGAUGAUGGUUCACUGCUCUGACCUCCUCCAUCCUUCAGUCGGAGAAGGUCGAUAAUCGAAGACUCGACCGCCUUCCAUGGACCUCUCCAGCCGUGUGGGAGGGAUCAAUGUGGAGGAAAACUCAAAGAACAGAAACAUGAUCUCCAUCUUUAGAGUCGAUAAAACUUUUAAAAUGUUGGGACAUAAGAAUAGAAAGUUUUCCAUCAAGCAAAGAAAAAACAAAUCCUGUUAAAUCUGUGUGGGUCAA